UGUCCGCAGGGUUCAUUGGGGAACCCUUUGGACAAUGGAAAACACGGGCAAACUCAUCAAACUGGGAAACACUGCCGAUCACUCUGUAGGUGGAUGAAGCACAGAAAAAAAGAGUGCUCUGGUGCGUGUUUGUCAGUCAGGAGCUGCAGGUAGAUGGACUGAGAUCUUCUCUUCAUACACCAGUUCUGAAAAGACAACAUUAACACAACAGUUUAGCCAAAGCACCUUCCUGAAUGGAAACCCAAUAAUCCUGUCAUGUUCACCAUGGAAGUGACCCAACCAGUAUGACAGGAACCACUGGACUAAACUCACAGCAUACUGCAUAAAGUAGUUUCAACCAGUUACCACUGUAAAAUGCUACAUGCACAGAGAUCUCUUAAUGUAAACAAUAAAAAAAACAACUAAAAAUUAACAUUCAAACUGUGACCUGUUAGAAUCCAAAAAUGUACUCUGUCAAUAAGCGGGGCAGUAAUUUGCCUUCUGG